AGUCUUCGUUUUCGAUUUUUCCAAGUCAAUAGAUGACCAGCAGGCC
rnacentral:sRNA from 1 species